UGCUUUCUGUGAGUCUUGGUUGCA
rnacentral:piRNA from 1 species